rnacentral:rRNA from 1 species
UACCGGAUAACAACACUAGACGCAUGUCUAGAGUUUGAAAGAUGGUUCUGCUAUCACUCUUGGAUGGACCUGCGGUGCAUUAGCUAGUUGGUAAGGUAACGGCUUACCAAGGCAAUGAUGCAUAGCCGAGUUGAGAGACUGAUCGGCCACAUUGGGACUGAGACACGGCCCAAACUCCUACGGGAGGCAGCAGUAGGGAAUCUUCCACAAUGGACGAAAGUCUGAUGGAGCAACGCCGCGUGAGUGAAGAAGGGUUUCGGCUCGUAAAGCUCUGUUGGUAGUGAAGAAAGAUAGAGGUAGUAACUGGCCUUUAUUUGACGGUAAUUACUUAGAAGGUCACGGCUAACUACGUGCCAGCAGCCGCGGUAAUACGUAGGUGGCAAGCGUUGUCCGGAUUUAUUGGGCGUAAAGCGAGUGCAGGCGGUUCAAUAAGUCUGAUGUGAAAGCCUUCGGCUCAACCGGAGAAUUGCAUCAGAAACUGUUGAACUUGAGUGCAGAAGAGGAGAGUGGAACUCCAUGUGUAGCGGUGGAAUGCGUAGAUAUAUGGAAGAACACCGGUGGCGAAGGCGGCUCUCUGGUCUGCAACUGACGCUGAGGCUCGAAAGCAUGGGUAGCGAACAGGAUUAGAUACCCUGGUAGUCCAUGCCGUAAACGAC